CAAUAAGUCACAUGAACAAAAACCCUCCUCUCAGGCUUUGUUACUGAGAACCUAGCCAAAGCACCAGGGUUCUUGCAUUUUCAAUCAGUAAGUCCUUCGCUGCUUAGUCCUUACUAUGCUUGGCAUGGAGAAGGGGCAAUAUAGCAUGGCACGGUGACAUGGUGUCAAAAGGCCCAGGUACUCAUUGGUGCUGUAUGUAAUGCCAGCAGGUUAGCCUCACUGAGUCUUACUCCCCUUCCAGCAACACUACCUCCAUCAGAGAAUCCAAUAUUAACACACUUCAGAAACCACGAAGUGCUACUAAAAUGCUGGUAGUUAUUUUAUUAAUGACAUUUAUUUAUUAAGGACAUCAUACUUGGUAAAGUAGAGGGUCAGCGAAAAAGAAGAUGACUCUCAGUGAGAUGGAUUGACACAGUGGCUGCAACAAUAGACUCGAACAUAGCAACGAUUGUGAGGAUGGUACAGGAACGGGCAAUGUUUUGUUCUAUUGUACGUAGGGUCACUAUGAGUCAGAACCAACUCGACAGCGCCUAACCAUAACAACAAUAAAUUUUAUUAAUGCUAUCAAAACCCUAGGAGUCCCUGUGUGGUACAAAUGAUUAACACACUUGGCAGCUAACUAAAAGGCUGGAGGUUCAAGCCUACCCAGAGGCACCUUGGAAGAAAAGCCCAGUGAUCUAUUUCCAAAAAGUUAGUCACUGAAAAUUUUAUGGAGCACAGUUCUACUCUGACACAUACGGGGUUUCCAUGAAUCGGAGUCAACUUAAUGGCAACUGGUUUGCUUUUUAUCAAAACCCUGUUGUUGUUGUUGUAUGCUAUCAACUCAAUUCCAACUCAAAGCAACCCUAUAGGACAGAGUAGAACUGCCCCAUAGGGUUUCCUAGGCUGUAAUCUUUACAGAAAGGAGCCCUAGUGGCACAGCUGUUAAAGCACUCAGCUGUGAACAGAAAGGUCAGCAGUUGGCGAUUCAAACCCACCAUGUGCUCCAGGGGAGAAAGAUGUGGCAGUCUGGUUUCAUAAAGAUUUACAGCCUUGGAAACCCUAUGGAGCAGUUCUGCUCUGUCCUAUAGGGUUGCUAUGAGUCAGAAUUGACUAGAGAUUGGUGGGUUUUUUGGUUUUGGACUAAACACUUAAGGAGUCUUGAUCGCACAAUGGUUAAGCGCUCAGCUACUAACUGAAAGUAGUAGCUUCGAACCCACUAGCUGCUCCGAGGGGGAAAAAUGUGGUAGUAACCUUCCAUAAAGAUUACAACCUCAGAAACCCUAUGGGGCAGUUCUACUCUGUCCUGUAGGGUCACUAUGAGUUGGAAUCGACUAGACGACAUUGGCUUUUCUGGAAUCUUUAUGGGAGCAGAUCACCAGGUGUUUCUCCUGAGGAGUGGCUGGUGGAUUCGAACCGCCAACAUUUCAGUUAGCAGCCGAGUGCUUAACCAUAGUGCCUCCAGGGCUCCUAUCAAAACCCUGUUGUUGUUGUUGUGUGCUGUUUUGUCAAUUCCAAUUCAUAGUUAAGCAUGCAGAUAUUCUGCCCUAACUUUAAGGGAGCGCCAACUUUCCCCCUUCCCCUUCUAUUCAAAGGCGGGUACUGGUUAUCGCCUAAGAAUCAGCAGCUUGUGAUCAACUGGGUCAAGGGCUAGAGCAUAUGCAUGAUUAAGGGGAAAGACUUUGACCUUGGACAUGAAGGGACGUUGUAUCACACCACAUGGAAACAAAAGCUCCCCAAGGAAUGACCACAGAAGUAUUCUAGUUAAACCACAAGGGGAAUAAAUAGAGGGAGGGAGAAACUGAGCUAAACCCAAAAGUAACAUAGUAUAUCGUACUUAAGAGUCAAACAGAUUUAAGUGACCCAUUAUGUGACUCUCUAAGCCUGUUUCCUGAUGGGUAAACCAGUCACCAUUGAGUCGGUUCCAACUCAUGACAACCCAUGUGUGUUGGACUGAGUGCUCCAUGAGGUUUCAAUGGCUGAUUUUUCUAGAUCACCAGGUCUUUCUAGACACCUCUGGGUGAAUUCAAACUUCCAACUUCUUAUUUAGCAGCCAAGUGUGUUAACCAUUUGCACCACCUGGGGGCUCCCUUUCUGAUGGGUAGAAUGAUAAAAAUACUUAUUUCAUUAGAGUUGUUGAAAAAUGUGAAGAAGACACUGCCUGUAAUUAUACUGCACAAUGACUAACACAUUAAAGGAAAAAAAAAAACUUCAAUAAAUGUUUGGUAUUGUUUUAUUUUGGAAACCCUGGUGGUGUAGUGGUUAAGUGCUAUAGCUGCUAAUCAAAAGGUCAGCAGGUCGAAUCCACCAGGCGCUUCUUGGAAACUUUAUGGGGCAGUCCUGCUCUGUCCCCUAGUGUCGCUAUGAGUCGGAAUCGACUCGACGGCAAUGGGUUUGGUUUGGUUUUUGUUUUAUUAUUAUUAUUAAUGGUGUGAGCUUGGGGAAUUAACUUCUCAGAGCCUCAGUCUCUUCAGUAGAAGAUGAAGAUAAGAAUAUGUAUUUCAUAAGGUUGUCACGAGCACUUAAAGAAAUAACGGGUAAGGAUUUGAGUGCUGUGUACCAAUGAGGUCCGUAACACUGGCUGCUCCCAGGAACACUUUUAAACUGGUGUCGUUCCUAAAGAAUGCCACUAGAAGGCAGGAAAGUAUCGUUUUUGCUCCUCUAGCGCCAGGAAGUUGACAUUAGGGGAGGAGAAGGGUACAUUUUUGGAACCUGCAGUAACUGCAGGCUUCUCCCCUGGGCCCCCCAGCAUCCCACUGGGAGAGAGGCAAUUGCUAGACUUCCUCCCGAGGAAAAUACAAUUCAACGGAAUGCACGUUUCCUAAAAACUCUCCGGGCCUCCUGAACCUCCAUUUAAAACUGGAAUUAUAUUUUACAGGGAUAUGCUUAAACUUACCGCACACGAGCGCUGUUGGACCAUUCCAGGCCCCAGAAAAUGACCAAUUCUUAGAAAAUCAAUCCCUUCCAUGAUCAAUAUCCUAAAACUACCAAUUCCUAAAAACUUGUUCCGAAUUUGGUAUCAAGACAACAGCAGUUUGUGUUCUAAGCCUUUGAGAUAGAAUUCCUUCCAAGCCCUGGUUUCAUUCUCCUGCAGCUUGGUUGUGAUUUCGCUAUGGCUUUGUGGCUAAGUACUUACCAGUUUGGCACAGUGGAAUUCCAAUUUUGCUUGAGCACCAACUGGUCCCUGAGCACUGAGUUAAAUGUGAACCAGACAUCUACCUCUCUUCUCCCCUGGUUCCACUGCCCCUCUCUAUCCCACUGUAUGCCCCCUCUUUCUUAUUAGAAUGAAAUAUUUCAGACAUGCAAAAAGUGUAGCGAAUAAUGUAACAAGGACCAGUGUAACAAGGAUCAGGUUAAAGAAAGAAUGCUUGAACUACAAUGGAAAGCCCUGGGGUUCCCCUGAGUUGCACACCGUAUCCUCUCCUCAUCUCCAAGACGGAACACUAUCCCCAGUGGAAAAUGAAGGACCAAGCAUCCUCUCUCUUAAUAAAAGAAAUGGAACUGCAAACUUCAAAGACACUGAGAGAGAAUGGGCAAGUGAGAGGAAGGAGAGGAGAGGGGAGUGGAGGGCCCUGUGAAAGCAGAAGCAGAGGGGACUCAGGUGCCCGCUGUCUCAGCUGAGGUCAGCCCUAGACGCUAAGGCGGAAGCUUGGAGGGUGUGCAGUUUCUGAGAAAGCCCACUGUGCCAAGAGCUGUAAUGGGGGGCAGGGGUUAAAGGCAGUGUCCCACCCCUCCCAGUCUCCUGCACCACCCUCUCUGGGCAGUGGGCAGGCAGGCCACCCACCUCUCCACCAGCCCUUCCUCAAACACACCAGUCAGGCAGGGUCAGGAACCCGUGGAGCUGGCAUAGGAGCCCCAAGCCACCUACCAACGACAAUGAGGACUUCCCUCUCGAUGUGGGCCUGGAUAUAGAUGCGUCCGCGGCGCUCCGUGUGGUCUGUGCCGCACAGGCUGGGGACGUUCAUCACGCAGCGCUUGUGGACGUUCAUCAUGCAGGCUGUGAGGGGAGAGAGGCACGGGUCAGCCGGCUGGCCCUUCCUGUUCCUCCAGACAAGGCAGCUGAGACCUACAAGCCUGGCCGGGACUGGCUUGCCAUGCCAGGGUCUCCUAAGGAGACCAAGGGCUUCUCCAACUCUUACCCCCAAACCUUGAAGGACAAAGGAAAACGGAUCUGUCCUUCCCCGAGGCUAAGGGUGUAGCCCGAAGUAGUCAUCCCGCCCCCAGCGUUCAGAUAUCAGUCACCCACUUUGAUGCCCAGGGGAAGACGCUGGGCCAGCCCACGAACAGCAGCUCACGCAGCUCCAGCCACACAGGAGUGCCUUCCAAAGGAGGUGCCAAGGCUUCCCAUUCUUCAAGUGCUUGCUGAUUUUCCCGAAGUCUUCUGGAAUGGCACCCGCUCCAGGAGGGUGUGCACCCUAGAGGACCCUCGUUCCAGUUUGAGAACCGGGUAGAGAGGCUGAAUCACCCCCCUUUGGGGGCUGCAUUUCAGGGGAUUUCCCGAGAGUUUUGGGCAUGGCUUCCCCAAGAUUGUGACCCUCACCAGGUGACUUGCUUUGACCACUGGGACAGGAGCAAAUGUGACACAAGCAAACACUUGAAAAGUGCUUCUCAUGGGAUGUAUCUUGAAGGACUUGGAACCCUACUCCCUCCAUGGGAACAAGGCCAGACUAGCCUGCUGCAGAUGAAGGACACAUGGCCCAGUCAUCUCCAUUACCCAGAUGACAGUCAGCCACCUUCAGAUGAAUGAGGGAAGCCAGCCAGGCCCCAAUCAACCCACUAACCCACCACAUAUGCAUGAGCAAGCCCAGGCCAUGACAGCUGAACCCAACCCAAGGACUGCCUUGCAGAAUCAUGAGCUAAUAAAUAAAUGGUGAUGCUUUUAAGCCACUAUGCUUGGGGGUGGGGAAGGAUUGGUCCACAGCAAUAGAUAACUGGUACACCAGCCCACCCAGGACUUGGGAGAAUUUGUGCAGACAUGGACCCCAAACUAUGAGGAAGUAGCCUGAGAUCAAAUGUAUGUACUUACUGUCACACUUCAUCCCUUGGUGGAUGAGCCCAUACAG